rnacentral:rRNA from 1 species
GACAGAGGGUGCAAACGUUGCUCGGAAUCACUGGGCGUAAAGCGCGUGUAGGCGGUCCGGUAAGUCGGCUGUGAAAGUCCAGGGCUCAACCCUGGGAUGCCGGUCGAUACUGCCGGACUAGAGUUCGGAAGAGGCGAGUGGAAUUCCCGGUGUAGCGGUGAAAUGCGCAGAUAUCGAGAGGAACACCUGCGGCGAAGGCGGGUUGCUGGGCUGACACUGACGCUGAACUGCGAAAGCUAGGGGAGCGAACGGA